GCCUGCGUGGCUCAGUUGGUUGGGCAUCUGACUUCGGCUCAGGUCAUGAUCUCACGGUUUGUAGGUUCAAGCCCCACAUCGGGCU
rnacentral:tRNA from 1 species